rnacentral:rRNA from 1 species
AGAGUUUGAUCAUGGCUCAGAUUGAACGCUGGCGGCAUGCCUUACACAUGCAAGUCGAACGGUAGAGGAGCAAUCCUCGAGAGUGGCGAACGGGUGAGUAAUAUAUCGGAACGUGCCCAGUCGUGGGGGAUAACGUAGAGAAAUUUACGCUAAUACCGCAUACGAUCUAAGGAUGAAAGCGGGGGACUCGCAAGGGCCUCGCGCGAUUGGAGCGGCUGAUAUCAGAUUAGGUUGUUGGUGAGGUAAAAGCUCACCAAGCCGACGAUCUGUAGCUGGUUUGAGAGAACGACCAGCCACACUGGGACUGAGACACGGCCCAGACUCCUACGGGAGGCAGCAGUGGGGAAUUUUGGACAAUGGGCGAAAGCCUGAUCCAGCAAUGCCGCGUGCAGGAAGAAGGCCUUCGGGUUGUAAACUGCUUUUGUACGGAACGAAACGGUUCUUUCUAAUAAAGAGGGCUAAUGACGGUACCGCAAGAAUAAGCACCGGCUAACUACGUGCCAGCAGCCGCGGUAAUACGUAGGGUGCGAGCGUUAAUCGGAAUUACUGGGCGUAAAGCGUGCGCAGGCGGUUCUAUAAGACAGAUGUGAAAUCCCCGGGCUCAACCUGGGAAUGGCAUUUGUGACUGUAGAGCUAGAGUACGGUAGAGGGGGAUGGAAUUCCGCGUGUAGCAGUGAAAUGCGUAGAUAUGCGGAGGAACACCGAUGGCGAAGGCAAUCCCCUGGACCUGUACUGACGCUCAUGCACGAAAGCGUGGGGAGCAAACAGGAUUAGAUACCCUGGUAGUCCACGCCCUAAACGAUGUCAACUGGUUGUUGGGUGCAUUAGUACUCAGUAACGAAGCUAACGCGUGAAGUUGACCGCCUGGGGAGUACGGCCGCAAGGUUGAAACUCAAAUGAAUUGACGG